UGAAAGUUGCUAGCUUAUGAACCAUGAUAA
rnacentral:piRNA from 1 species